GCUCAGCUUCAUAGCUGACCACUGCGGCUUGGUUUAGCUCUGGCCUUACGGCUAACGAUUGCUAACCACUGCCCCCCGCGUCUACCGUGAUUUUUUUCACCGUAGUGACGUGUGUGUGCUCAAAGUGGCUGCUUGUUCGAGAAGUCUGCUAAAGAACUUCUUAAGUUGACAUCAGCCCUUGUGUGGCAGCAUAUUUGUGUUUGGUA